rnacentral:rRNA from 1 species
CUUAAGCAUAUCAAUAAGCGGAGGAAAAGAAACUAACAAGGAUUCCCCUAGUAACGGCGAGUGAAGUGGGAAAAGCUCAACUUUGUAAUCUGGCUGUCUUUGGCAGUCCGAGUUGUAGUCUAGAGAAGUGUUAUCCGCGCAGACCCUUAUAGAUUUCGGUUGGAAUGCCAAGUCAAAGAGGGUGAGAAUCCCGUAUUUGAUAAGGUGGUCUUGUGCAUUGUGAUACGCUUUCAAAGAGUCGAGUUGUUUGGGAAUGCAGCUCAAAGUGGGUGGUAAAUUCCAUCUAAAGCUAAAUAUUGGCGAGAGACCGAUAGCGAACAAGUACCGUGAGGGAAAGAUGAAAAGCACUUUGGAAAGAGAAUGAAAUAGUACCUGAAAUUGCUGAAAGGGAAACGAGUGAAGUUAGACUUGCGCAGUUGGUAUUCAGCCUUGGCUUCGGUCUUGGUGCAUUUGCCUUCUAUUGCAGGCCAACAUCAGUUUACUUUGCGGUAAAAGGGUUUAGGGAAUGUGGCUUCUUCGGGAGUGUUAUAGCCCUUUACUGGAUGCCGAAUCGUAGACUGAGGAACGCAGCGCGCCUUUCGGGGCAAAGCUUUCAAGCUUCGAGCGCUUAGGAUGUUGGUAGAAUAGCUUUACACGACCCGUCUUGAAACACGGACCAAGGAGUCUAACAUGCUUGCGAGUGUUUGGGUGUCAAACCCGAGCGCGGAAUGAAAGUGAAUGCAGGUGGGAUCCGUAACAGGUGCACCAUCGACCGAUCUGGAUAUUUAUUGAUGGAUUUGAGUAAGAGCAUGUAUGUUGGGACCCGAAAGAUGGUGAACUAUGCCUGAAUAGGGUGAAGCCAGAGGAAACUCUGGUGGAGGCUCGUAGCGGUUCUGACGUGCAAAUCGAUCGUCAAAUUUGGGUAUAGGGGCGAAAGACUAAUCGAACCAUCUAGUAGCUGGUUCCUGCCGAAGUUUCCCUCAGGAUAGCAGAAGCUCGUAUUAGUUCGAUGAGGUAAAGCGAAUGAUUAGAGGCCUUGGGGCUGUAACAGCCUUAACCUAUUCUCAAACUUUAAAUGUGUCGGAAGCCUUCGUGACUUGACUGCACGAUAGGCAUGCGAAUAAGAGUUUCUAGUGGGCCAUUUUUGGUAAGCAGAACUGGCGAUGCGGGAUGAACCGAACGUUGAGUUAAGGUGCCGGAGUUAUCGCUCAUCAGACACCACAAAAAGUGUUGAUUCAUCUAGACAGCAGGACAGUGGCCAUGGAAGUCGGAAUCUGCUAAGGAUCGUGUAACAACUCACCUGCCGAAUGAAUCAGCCUUGAAAAUGGAUGGCGCUCAAGCGAUACACCCAUACUCAACCGUUCACGUUGAUUUAUGUUGCGUGAACGAGUAGGCAGGCGUAAAGGUUUUGUGAUAAAGCCUAGGCAGUGAUGCCGGGUAGAACAGCCUUUAGUGCAGAUCU